GCCGGUGGAAGGAAGUGACCUCACCAGGGUGCGUGCCUUCCUGGCUCUGCUUCUCCACCCGCCCUGGGAACCGUUUCCCUCUGUCCAGGGGGGUUGAUGCUCAGCCUGGCCCCCAGCUCUCAGAGCAAGCAGCUCACAGAGGUAGACUGGACCGGUCGGCUUCCUCCCUUGCCCCAGAACACACUUCGUUUUUUCUUAGAGGAAGAGGCUUCCAGCUCUCCUGUGUUCUGCUUUCCCAAGGCUGAAGUGACUCCCCGGGAGGCAGAAGUCGGUGGACCUCCCAGCACGUGAAGGAAAUUGUCCCUGGUAUGGCCAUGCCAGUGUCUGACCGCAUCUCCGGUUCCUUGGGAUUUGUCUUGGCCUCCAUUCUUGGGUCUAAUGUCACCCUCAUCAGCUGUUUCUUCCUGAACUCAUCGGCAAGCCAGGGGUUGGAUAAGACCCUCUGAGCAGUCUUAGGGUUCAUCCAGGUUCCUCUUUGUUGUGGCGCCCUGGGGAGAAAGUCCCCUAGGCGAGCUUAGUACCCGCACAGCGGGGCGUGGGGGGCUGUUGUGCAGAGCUCUGCCAGUUGCCGCUUGGGCCAUUCCCUGUGCACUCUGCGGGGAGGAGGAAGACAUCAGGUCUAUCAGCCUUUGUACUAAAAGCUGUAGGCCCAAUACUGAGGUGGUGCACGAAGUUCACAGCCAACCUUUCUGUCUCAGUGACCUGUGAAGCAAGCAGUUACCACCCUCCUGCCUUUAUCAUGUCCAGCUGGGACCUGAUGGGAACUCUGCGCCUGGAGGCCUGGGAGCUUGCCCUUGUCCUGGUCUCUGUUCAACCCUGAUCAAGGCUCUGCCUGGAGUUCCCGCUGCUGUUGCUCCUUAAAUGGACUCAUUGGGCAUUGGGAGUGGGGAGGGGGCGGGGAACCUCAUGGCAACAUUCCAAGUCCCAGGAAAAACGGUUGCCCUGGCACAGGGACACCCGCGACCAAAAUUCAUACGUUAAUCUCCUAACCCCAAAUUCUAGAAUGUAUGAAAAAAUGAGCCCUUUAAAAAACUCAAAAUGAGGCUGUAAGGGUGGGUCCUAACCAAUUUUAGUGGUAUCCUGAGGUGAUAAGGCCCCACAGAGGGUUCCCACGGGCACACUGGCCCAAUGGGGAAGCAUGGAGAGGGCUAACUGUAGGCCCAGGAGGCGGGGCCAUAUGGGACCUUCCUAGAGCUGACUAGGGCUUUGCCCUCAUGGAUGUUACCACCCACGAAGUCUAAAAAUGGAUUACUGCAGUGUCUUAGCAGUGGGGCUGCUGUAAAGGCCAGUUUGGUCGAGUCUUUUGCAUGCAAUGUCCUAUACUGCCCAGGGACUCUGCUAGCAAGGCCACUGGCAAAUGUCAGAGCCAUGAGCCAAAGCAAUACAACUCACACAAGCUGUGGCAUUGUUAUUAGCAACAGAAAAUGCACUCAGACAAGUGUUCAUAUUCGAGGAUCAUAGCCGAAUUCCAGGGGCUCAGAAAAUGGCUUUCUCAUACUUUUCUGUAAAAUAAAAGACUGGACAAGUGGC